rnacentral:rRNA from 1 species
GUAUGAAGCCGGAAUUGCUGUAAUGGCAGGUCAGCAUACUGCCGUGAAUACGUUCCCGGGCCUUGUACACACCGCCCGUCACACCAUGAGAGUUGGGGAUACCCAAAGCCCGUGAGCCAACUUAUAGAGGCAGCGGUCUAAGGUAGAAUCAAUGAUUGGGGUGAAGUCGUAACAAGGUAGC